UACGGGGGGGGCAAGCGUUGUUCGGAAUUACUGGGCGUAAAGGGCUCGUAGGUGGCCAACUAAGUCGGACGUGAAAUCCCUCAGCUUAACUGGGGAACUGCGUCCGAUACUGGAUGGCUUGAGUUUGGGAGAGGGAUGCGGAAUUCCAGGUGUAGCGGUGAAAUGCGUAGAUAUCUGGAGGAACACCGGUGGCGAAGGCGGUUCUCUGGGCCUUACCUGACGCUGAGGAGCGAAAGCGUGGGGAGCGAACAGG
rnacentral:rRNA from 1 species